GAUGAACGCUAGCGGCAGGCCUAACACAUGCAAGUCGAGGUGCAGCACAGAAACAGCAAUGUUUUGGUGGCGACCGGCGGACGGGUGCGUAACGCGUCUGCAACCUACCUUUAACAGGGGGAUAACGGAGAGAAAUUUCCACUAAUACCCCAUAACAUCGAUCAAGGCAUCUUGAUUGGUUGAAAACUCCGGUAGUUAAAGAUGGGCAUGCGUUGUAUUAGGUAGUUGGUGAGGUAAUGGCUCACCAAGCCUACGAUACAUAGGGGGACUGAGAGGUUAGCCCCACACACUGGUACUGAGACACGGACCAGACUCCUACGGGAGGCAGAAGUGAGGAAUAUUGGUCAAUGGGGGCAACCCUGAACCAGCCAUGCCGCGUGCAGGAAGACGGCUCUAUGAGUUGUAAACUGCUUUUAAACAGGGAUAAAGCACAGUAUGUAUACUGUGUUGAAGGUACUGUAAGAAUAAGGAUCGGCUAACUCCGUGCCAGCCGCCGCCGUAA
rnacentral:rRNA from 1 species